GAUGAACGCUGGCGGCGUGCCUAAUACAUGCAAGUCGAACGGACAGACGAUGAGCUUGCGCCUUUGACGUUAGCGGCGGGCGGGUGAGUAACGCGUGGAUCACCUACCUAUAAUUCGGGGAUAAUUACGGAAAACCGGAUCUAAUACCAUAGAAUAUAUUGAACCGCGGGGUGCAAUGGUUAAAUACGGCUUUGCUGUCUGUUAUAGAGGCUUCCGCGCCGCAUUAGCUAGUUGGUAAGGUAACGGCCUACCAAGGCUACGAUGCGUAGCCGAACUGAGAGGGUGAUCGGCCACACUGGAACUGAGACACGGUCCAGACUCCUACGGGAGGCAGCAGUAGGGAAUCUUAGGCAAUGGGCGAAAGCUUGACGGAGCAACGCCGCGUGAGUGAUGAAGGCCUUCGGAUCGUAAAGCUCUGUUAUUAGGGAAGAACAGAUGUGGAAGUAAACAUGGCCGUAUUGACGGUACCUAAUAAGAAAGCACCGGCUAACUACGUG
rnacentral:rRNA from 1 species